CAUAAUAUGUAAAGCAUUCCGGCCUAGCUCCAUUUUUGCGAGGGGUCAUUUUCAAAAUCAUUUGCGUAACGUAAAUAUGGCGGACGUGACGUCAUCAGCCGCCUUCAUCCGGGGACCGAGACCCUGGACCUUCCCACCUGCCAGUGCCCUUCCAUCAGUAUUUAGUGUUAUUUCCUAUAUUUUCCAGCUGUUUUCAUGCAUAGAGAAGAAUAGAAAGAGGAGUGAAUUCUUCGUUUCUGUGGCGUUUUAAAAAGAGCAACGGCAACCCUCCGAUCCGGCAAGCAGGUUGGCGGCAGCGAUGGCGGUGGCGGCAGCAGCGGUGGUGAGGUGGACGGCAGGGACGGAGGGGCGGUACAGGCUGCGGACAUCAAGGAGAAAAAGAACGUGCGGAGAAGCAAGGUGGCAUUCAGCAGUGUGAUCCUGGACCUGGUCGGCUUGACGGUGGUGGUGCCUCUGUCUCCUGCUCUCUUUCACUGUUACUCCAAGCACGACUCCAGCGGCUUGUAUUCCUCUGUGCUCUCCUGUGUGACUUGUUACCAGCAUAUCAUCGGCGUCCCUGCGAGGUUCCACUCUGUCUUGUUUGGUGGUAUGUGGGGCCUAAUGAUGAUGAUUCCUGCUUUCAUCCUCAUCGGGGCUAAUGAGACCAACCUGGGGCUGUACUCUGGACUGACGCUGUAUGCCAUAGGCACCUGACGGACUUUGAGCUGGUGCAGCGUCUGGCGCGGUGCGGGCUUGGCGUGGUGUGUCAGGUGCGGAACAAGUUGGAUGAGAAUGAGUAUGCCGUGAAGAGGAUCAACCUGCCAACCAACAAGUCAUCUGCUGAGAGAGUGAAGAGGGAGGUGAGGGCCCCGGCCAACCUCAACCACACCAAUAUUGUCCGCUACUACAACAGCUGGCUGGAGACGCCCCCCAGGAUGGCAGCACCCCCAAGACACCAUGCAUAGCGAGCAAGUCUCCUGUGUUUGUGUGUGUGCAUGUUUACUUAGUGGUGACACACAGGAGAGGAGUGCCUUGAGGUGCCAAUCAUUUCUGAAGUUUAUGAAAGCAGAAACGGCUCUCCAGAAUAUGAUUUUUACCCUAGAUCUUCCCUUCAGCGGACUAGAGGAUAAAGGCCCCCACACACGGAGCGAUUUUAGAAGCGCGACUUGAGAAGCGUGAUUCUGGGUUGCCCCCACACACACGGCAACUGGUGCAGUGACAGCAUACCCCCUCCCCAACCAUACCCCCCAUCCCCGCUACUGUAUCCACGUGGACUGCCAUCUCAUUCACCAAUGACGCGGGAAUAAAGAUCAGUCUGCCUGACUCCGCUUGGUAGUGAUGGAGGUCGAGGAAGCAGCCUGUCUUUGGAUGCUGUAUCGUCGCUGCCAAAGGCGAAAAAAGAAAGUGAGAGAGAGUGAUGUCAUCCCAAGUGGCUGGACGUUUUUCUAUUUCAUCUAUUAAUAAUUCGGUAUCAAAGCGGUCAGCAGAUCCCUGGUCACUCAUCUUGCUAUGCGUGGUUGUGAUGCACUACCCCAAGCCGGAUGUUACCAGUUACCCAGCACUGCCCCACCCAACUGCCCCGCGCUCGGACUCCACGUGGAGGAAAACUCUGCCUGAUCGCUCAUUGGCUCUAGUGUCACCCCUACCAGCCAAUGAGAUGCAAGUAGUGAUGAAAUCGCGGGAAGCAGUCGCCUCGUGUGAACGGCCUCAUAGAAACACAUGUUAACCGAGUCGCUCAAAAGUCGCGCUUCACCGAGGGAUAUCUCGAGUC